CGCCCUCGUGCGGGAGAGUUUCGUGACAGCCAGUCACGGACGCCGAAGGAGCAAUACCCUCUCCGUCAACCUCUCAGGCACCCAGGACCGCGCCAGGCCC
rnacentral:ncRNA from 2 species